UGGGGAAUUUUGGACAAUGGGGGAAACCCUGAUCCAGCCAUCCCGCGUGUGCGAUGAAGGCCUUCGGGUUGUAAAGCACUUUUGGCAGGAAAGAAACGUCAUGGGUUAAUACCCCGUGAAACUGACGGUACCUGCAGAAUAAGCACCGGCUAACUACGUGCCAGCAGCCGCGGUAAUACGUAGGGUGCAAGCGUUAAUCGGAAUUACUGGGCGUAAAGCGUGCGCAGGCGGUUCGGAAAGAAAGAUGUGAAAUCCCAGAGCUCAACUUUGGAACUGCAUUUUUAACUACCGGGCUAGAGUGUGUCAGAGGGAGGUGGAAUUCCGCGUGUAGCAGUGAAAUGCGUAGAUAUGCGGAGGAACACCGAUGGCGAAGGCAGCCUCCUGGGAUAACGCUGACGCUCAUGCACGAAAGCGUGGGGAGCAAACAGG
rnacentral:rRNA from 1 species